CUGUCAUACCAUUACCACCACGAAGUUUCUCUCCACUUGCUUGCCACUUUCACAUCUUCCUCAUUCAUCAGGAAAACAGUAUCUUUGAAGAAAUAUGGGGUACUCAAGCCAAAGCCAAUUACGCUGCCGUUCCUAUCCAGACUAGCAUUAUCAAAGCCAAGGCAAGAAAGUUGUAGUGAAGCAACUUGAAGAAUCAACUUCUACAGCUAAGGGAUCAGUUACAGAACAGGUGGAAUUUCAUUCAUCCAGGCAGAUUGAACAAACAUAGUCUUCAGGGAAUCAAGCAUCAAGUUGCCAAAAGCAAGGAGCAUCGAGUUGCCAAGACAAAAGAGUGAAGUUGAAUAACAAGCUGCAUAAACGACAGUGUAGUUUUCUUCUAGUUUAGCAGUGUUUGUUAGUUUUAAUUCACACGUGUCUUGGUUAGUUAUUUACUGUAGCAGGUUUAAGAGUUUGUUAAGUUAGUUACAAAGUGUGUAUCUCGAUUUGUAUAUAAAACCUUAAACUCUAUUAAUGCAAAUCAAGAAAUCAGUUUUACCAAAUUA